AUGAGACUGCAUAUGCAGGAUCUAGGCCCGGUGAGUGCAGCAAUGGUCGUUAAAAAGGAGUGAUGAAGAGUAUGGGAAGUCUAGUGGAAGCACGGAAACAUAUACAUAUGAGCACGCCGUUGGGGAUGAGAUUGGUAAAAUAUUGCCGACAGAAUGUUUGGGCAUAAAUUGAGGGCCUGUUUCCUAAUUGAAUUCGUCCGUAAAUUGAAUAGCCAGUAAUAUCUGCUUGUUCAAUUUCAGCAAACAACCAAUUAUAUAAAUUUUUUUUUUUUGAUGUAUUUUCCGACCGUUUCGACAUUUCAUUAAUUAUUAAAAGCGUAAGUACGCCCGUUAUUAUAUUUAAUUGCAAACAGGA